AUGGACACCCCAAAACCUCUCCAAAGGGUGACCACUCACUUUCAAGUUCAUAAGCAGCUGCCCUCACCUAAAGGAAACCAUGGGUUGAAGCUUGAAGGAAGCUCACCAGGAUGCGGUUGCUGGAGGAGUAGGCUCACAAAGCACAGUCUGGAAGUUCACUGCAGUGACUCUGGGAAUCUUCUGCCUUGCAUUACUGGCCACAGCGGGUUUCUUGGUGGCCCAAGUGAUCCAGGGACAAGAAGUUUCUAAAAACGGCUUUCCAAACCCAACUCCGAGCAACAUCAAAGAG
rnacentral:lncRNA from 1 species